GGCAGCGGCGUCGCAGCGGCAGCAGCAGCACCAGAGUCAGCCCUCCGCGACAGGCGCACCGCACGUCACCCGUCGGCGAGUUUCCACUGUGACGCGAGGGCGGCGUCCAUACCUGCCGUUGACUCGGUCAGCGCAGCGCGCGGCAGUCAGCUCCACUGUGCUGUUGCCACCCAACAGAGUGUUCACAUUCGAGACAUUGUCUGCUGUAAAAGAACUGUGUUUUUCACGAAGUUACGGAAUUCGUUACACUACACAACUCCACCCUCGGUCACCGCCUUACCAAUAAUCCAUUCACACGUGUGAAGUCCCCGUCACAUAUUCUUCCAUCUGCCGCCACAAAGAGCAGCUCUAUUAAUAAGUGUAAACAAUAGAAACAUUCUUAAUUCGAACUUUUCCUGGAUAUGGAAUUAAUCACAUAAGUAACCACUGAACACCUGAGGUCGAGUACCUCUUCAAGUGUGCUAACGCGUAUCCAAUGAACAUUUCAUUUUAUUUCUGUGGCUAAAGAAGUAUAUUUCCUCAAAAUUGGACCAGUCUCACCCAAAAAAGUGAUCGUUUCUGAACGAUGUCUUAUACUCCCGAAUGUGGUGAAUACCAGUGGUAAAGCAGUCGCUAGCAACACCGUGAGAAUAGUUGGUUGGGAGUUGGCUGAAUUUGUUCCAUACGCAGCUCUGAACAUCACAGCAGGAAAUUCUACUUCAUUUUAACUCGGACCUUUGCAAUCCGAUUAUCAUUUACUUUAGCUAUUUUCAAAUAAACAGACUGUGCAGCGUUAACUACUGGUGUAUAGUGGCCUUAGUUUGAAAACUGCAGGUUACAAACUAGAUUUUCUUUUGACUAUUUAUAUCUGGAUUACAGAUUUUUUCGUACUGAGGCAUGAACUGAAAACAAUAAUCCGAAUUUCCUUCAGUCAUUUGAGUCUCGACGUUAAUUAUAUUUUGUGAAGGAAAGGAGUGAGUAGUAAUUAUUUUAAAACUAGUCAGUUUUGAGCAGUAGUAUAUGGUAGUAACUUGCUUUACACACGUUUCAGUUUUUAUCUGGAGUGCAGUUUUAACUACGUUCUUUUUGUGUAGAGAGAAUUUGUAUACACGAAGAAUUGAUGGCAUUAACCACACAAAGAGAUCGUACAGUUGUCAGAUAUUUUUGUGACAGCCAGUCUGCCAGGUGGCUGGAACGGCAUAUGUGUGCGUAUGUAUGUUGCGUUGAAUGAUAUGCCUGAUCUGCAACAUCAGGAUUGCUAUUAGACGAGAAACAAGAGGCAGACUGCGUGCUGUGACAGCACCUUCACUCGGCGCGUGGACGACUUCUUGCAGAACUGAGAUCUUUAAUGUGCUGACCGAUGGACGGCAGCACAUUCCAAAAUUUGGAAGCUACACCAGUUCCGAUGUCCUGAAUCCCUCUGAGUGGACACGUCGCAAUGACAUUAUUUCGAUUGUACUGUAGCAGAAACAAUAAAACGAGAAGUGGCGGAAAAUACGGAUGACUUGGAAUUUUAAUUCCUGUACUGAAGUUCCGCAAAAUAGACUCGAGGAGGCAAACGCUCCGAUGAAAAUUUCGGUGUUUUGAAGCUGUCUGAGAUAUCGCUUAGCUGAAGACAGAAAAGGAGGGAAAGAGAGAGAGAGAGAGAGAGAAAGAGAGAGAGAGAGAGAGAGAGAGACCUAUAAAGAGACCGAAAGCCGGAUAAAACAUACGAAAUUACCGACUAUGAAGAAGAGAGGCCAUUUAUUCGCGGAAGAGCGCUCCUAAGUGGAGUGUGGACGCAUUCCCAUCUGUAAGGACCCGACCGCCUCUGAAAGAAAACCACGUCAGUGGCGAGAAAGAGGCGACUGGCACUGACCACCGCUGUACACCUUCACCAGCUGUCUCUGGAGCGUCCUUUCCGGCACGCCGCGCUGCAGACACCCCUCCAGCCUACCGUCUGGACUCCCUCUCCAUCCCCGGCGGGGACAGCAUGAACGCGCUACUGCUGUACCGGCGUUGACCACCGCUUGUGAUCGCUUCGACGGCCGCUCGCUCCUCAUCCCGUGAGGAAGGACCACUGCUUCAACAGGACGCAGCAGCUGCAGCAGGCCCUACAACGUGCACCCGCAACGACAAAGGUA